GUGCCAGCAGCCGCGGUAAUACGGAGGGUGCAAGCAUUAAUCGGAUUUACUGGGCGUAAAGGGCGCGUAGGCGGAAGGUCAUGUCAGAUGUAAAAUCCCGGAGCUCAACUUCGGAACUGCAUUUGAAACGGGCUUUCUUGAGGGUAGGCGGAGAAAAUGGAAUUCCACGUGUAGCGGUGAAAUGCGUAGAUAUGUGGAAGAACACCUGUGGCGAAAGCGGUUUUCUAGCUUAUUCCUGACGCUGAGGCGCGAAAGCAAGGGGAGCAAACAGGAUUAGAUACCCUGGUAGUCCUUGCCGUAAACGAUGUAUACUUGGUGUAGCCGGACUCAACCCUGGCUGUGCCGGAGCAAACGCGUUAAGUAUACCGCCUGAGGAGUACGCUCGCAAGGGUGAA
rnacentral:rRNA from 1 species